GAUGAACGCUAGCGGGAGGCUUAACACAUGCAAGUCGAGGGGUAACAUGAGGUAGCAAUACUUUGAUGACGACCGGCGCACGGGUGAGUAACGCGUAUGUAACCUACCUUGUACAGGGGGAUAGCCCGGAGAAAUUCGGAUUAAUACCCCAUAAUGAUAUCUGAAGGCAUCUUUAGAUAUUUAAAGUUUCGACGGUACGAGAUGGGCAUGCGUGACAUUAGCUAGUUGGUAAGGUAACGGCUUACCAAGGCUGCGAUGUCUAGGGGUCCUGAGAGGGUGAUCCCCCACACUGGAACUGGGACACGGACCAGACUCCUACGGGAGGCAGCAGUGAGGAAUAUUGGUCAAUGGGCGUAAGCCUGAACCAGCCAUCCCGCGUGAAGGAAGAAGGCGCUAUGCGUCGUAAACUUCUUUUCCGGAGGAAUAAAAUUUCGUACGUGUACGGGACUGAAGGUACUCCGGGAAUAAGCAUCGGCUAACUCCGUGCCAGCAGCCGCCGUAAGAC
rnacentral:rRNA from 1 species